GACUAACGCUGGCGGCGUGCUUAACACAUGCAAGUCGAACGGAAAGGCCCUGCUUUUGUGGGGUGCUCGAGUGGCGAACGGGUGAGUAACACGUGAGUAACCUGCCCUUGACUUUGGGAUAACUUCAGGAAACUGGGGCUAAUACCGGAUAGGAGCUCCUGCUGCAUGGUGGGGGUUGGAAAGUUUCGGCGGUUGGGGAUGGACUCGCGGCUUAUCAGCUUGCUGGUGGGGUAGUGGCUUACCAAGGCUUUGACGGGUAGCCGGCCUGAGAGGGUGACCGGCCACAUUGGGACUGAGAUACGGCCCAGACUCCUACGGGAGGCAGCAGUGGGGAAUAUUGCACAAUGGGCGGAAGCCUGAUGCAGCAACGCCGCGUGCGGGAUGACGGCCUUCGGGUUGUAAACCGCUUUCGCCUGUGACGAAGCGUGAGUGACGGUAAUGGGUAAAGAAGCACCGGCUAACUACGUG
rnacentral:rRNA from 1 species